UACGGAGGAUGCGAGCGUUAUCCGGAUUUAUUGGGUUUAAAGGGUGCGUAGGCUGGUAAUUAAGUCAGUGGUGAAAUACUCCGGCUCAACCGGGGGGCUGCCGUUGAUACUGGUUACCUUGAGUUUAGAUGAUGUGGUCGGAAUGUGUCAUGUAGCGGUGAAAUGCAUAGAGAUGACACAGAACACCGAUAGCGAAGACAGCUCACAAAGCUAUUACUGACGCUGAUGCACGAAAGCGUGGGGAUCAAACAGGA
rnacentral:rRNA from 1 species